rnacentral:misc_RNA from 1 species
GUGCCAACUUCUAGAUGAUGGUCUCCCUAUGAGUCUCUGUCUUCAUAAUCACCAAAUAGAACUUCAUGUUUCAUUCUUUGGCACGUAAUCCGUCUGCAGGUCAAAAGAAAUAAUGGUUUUUUGAGGAAUUAAAUGAAGAUAAAGUAAGAUUAGUUUAUAGACUGGGAGGUACAUAAGGCUCUACACUCACAUAAUGCACCACCAGUACACUUGAUUUUUUAGUUUUCUAACCUAUAUAUGAAUGAAAUUGAAUGUUGGUUCUGAGAAAAAUUUGGUCAUUAAAUGCACAAGCAGAAGCUGGUGAUUAAGUGGGCAAUAUCCUUUUCACCAUUUUAAUCCUGAUUAAUGGUAGCUAAUUUGUGUUACUUUUGUAGCUUUCCAUGGAAGGAUUAUAAUUUUUUUGUCCUAGUAAAAAAUUUCACAUUGGCUCCACGUAGGCAUUUUUAUACCCAGUUUAUAGUCAAUUAAUUUAUAUUUCACAUCACCAGUUUAUAGUCCCAGAUAGCUUUCAAUCACCAAAUAAUGAAUUUCUCUUCCCUAAAAACAGAUUCAUGGCUGAUAAUAUGAUGAAAUUUUGGAUUUCAUGAAAAAUGGAUGGAUAAUUUAAGUCAUAGAGGUUCAUGCCAGAUGAUAAUGGAAUUCAUGCCAGCCUAUUCAAUCUACAAAGACAUAGAAUUUCCAAUUUGUAUAAUCAUCAGAUGUAAAAUCAAAAGUAUAUCCUUGACCUUGGACAGUAAAACAAGAGUUUGUUCCUGAAGCAUAAGAGCUAGACCACGGACAUGAAGGGGAAGAGCUAGGAGGAAACAGAAACAGAAUAGGCUACAACUGAUAACUGGCCAGAGGAUACAGGAGGCACUUUUCCCACACUGAUGAUGUUUCUAUAGAGUAGAAGAACAAUAUCCCUGCCAAGGGAAGUAACAUGUGAACAAACACGGCAGGACCAGCCAUCUAUCUUGUUAGACAUUAUAAUGGAAUGUGACAGUGUGGAUAGUUAUAGAUAACCUUUAUCUGCAAAAACUUACAUUUAUACUUAGAAAUUUGAUUGAUGUAUGAGAAAUUGUCUGAGAUCAUUUAGAAAAGUAUGGGGAAGGUUAAAAUAUUUAAACAAUGAGUACACAUACACUCACAGGUCCAGCAUUCAGACCUAGUAGCUACGUCCCAAAAAAUUUGGAUCUCAUUCUCCAUGUGCAUAAUAACAAUACAAAGCUUCCACAUUUCUAACCUACUCAUGAAAAUAAAAUGUCAACAUACCGGACAGCAAUGGGUAAACAUAAAAAAAAAAAAGAAAUACAAUUUAAGCUGCUAAUUUAUCCAAAACUAUCAUUCCAUUGUGCAGGAACCAUUUGGAGAUAUCAGUAGCACUUAUAAGUUAAGUAUCUACAACCCAGAGCUACGCAUAAUCCGUUUGGACAUUUUUAGAAGGUUCACUUUCAUGUAACGGUAAGCAAGACUCCAAUUUGGAAAAUUUUUCCUGUUUCUAACUCAACUAUCUAAUCGUAUUAAGCUUGCUCAUUUUUUUCUUUCUUUAAAUUUGACCAUGGACAAAUAGCAUCCUUUUGAUGUUUUACUUAUCCCUUUAUUUCCUUGUCAAACUAAUUGCUACUUUUUGCAUUUGCAUCGCCAAUCCGAAAAUAAUGCAAAAAGUUGCAAAUUAGGGAAUGGGCACAUUAUGAAUUGUCAUUAUGGAAUCAAAUGAUGCAUACAAGAUGAAAACCACUGCAUGCACUGAUUUCCUAUAUAGACUAAGGGUAAGAAAUCUGUAAAUGCACAGAGAAUUUAGCGCGGUAACACCUUGGUAGGGGAUUCGAAAUGCAAUUAUACUUCCUAAAUGCCAGUAUUUAGCUUUUAGGAAUAUAACAAAAAUGAAAAAUUUAAGUUCAUCAUGGUGUAUUGAGAAACAAUUUUCCAACAUGGAAACAAUUUACAAAAAUGCACAGAUAAGGGAAGUAGCAUAAAAUGUAAUAGGAGCAAUGUGUUCACUAAGAAACGGAAUGGCGUCUGCAUUGGCACAACAACAAACCUUAACUCAUUUAUAUGCUUCCCCAAUACUUCUUCUCUCCUUUCUCUUAACCAACUAUGGCCAUCUUUGCAAAAGAACUGAAUGUAUCUUUUGUUAAAAAGAGAUAGAGAUCCAUCUGUAUUUGGCUCCUCUGAUAGCUGCAAAAUUUCAUGUUUUUGUAAUAUGAAGAACACUUAUGCAGGCUUCAGCCAAAGUGUUUGAACUUUGAACUUGUAGAAACACUUCAAAUAUGUCAAAUCUUGAGACCAAAUAGAAGAUGGCUAUCAAACAACCUCAACUGAAAGUUUGGUUAGCUUGACAAAACCAGUACUGAUCAAUUGCAAACCCUUUAAUAAGGAUAAUUGCUUAGCCAUUCUGUCUACUCACUAUAACUCAACAUAAGAAAGACCUUCUGCAUUUGUUGAUCAGGUGUUGAUUAUUAAAAGUCUCACUCCACAUCUGCACCUUUACACCCUUUACAAUGAUUUCGUAGCUUUCUCAAAAUGAGAUUGUCAUUUGGCAAUAAACUUACUACCAAUUCAGUGGUCAUGGCAUCUGCAGAGAAUCCCUUAUCAACCAUUUCAUCAAUAAGUUCUGAUGCUUUUGGUACAUCCUUGUGCCUGAGAAACCCUUGAAUAAUCACAUUAUAACAGCAACCAUUUGGUACACAUCCACUCUUUUCCAUUCCUCUAAAAACUUUGUAUGCUUCAUCUAAUAAUCCUUCUUUGCAAAGGCCUUUUAUUAUUGUACUAUAUGUAUAAACAUUAGGCUGUAAACCUUUUUCAAAAAGCCUAGAAAAUAGUUCCUUGGCAUCAUUAAGCCUCCCAGCUCUGCACAUACCACCGAUCAAAAUGUUAUAGCUCACACAAUUAACCUUCAACCGACUCUUUUCCAUCGCUUUAAAUAGUGUAAGCGCCUCAUCAAGAUACCCUUGUUUGCACAAGCCAUCAAGAAUGAUUGAAAAAGUCACUUUAUCUGGCUGCUGACCAUGAGAACACAUGUUCUUGAAAACUUCUAGUGCAAUUCCAGGUUGCCCUGCUUCCCACAAUCCCUUAAUAAGAGUAUUAUAAGUAACAAAGUUGGGAACUAAACUAGUUUUAAUCAUUUCAUCCAAAAGUUUUGUUGCUUCAUCUAUCUUUCUGCUCUUGCAGUAUCCAUUAAUCA